rnacentral:pre_miRNA from 1 species
GGCGGGAGACCAGAUCCUGGGCUGUGUCCCGGCGCCCUGUUCUCUGAGGCCUGCGCUGUUGGAUUGCGCUCCCGGCCGCGCAGCCCCCU